UGGGGAAUCUUAGACAAUGGGGGAAACCCUGAUCUAGCCAUGCCGCGUGAGCGAUGAAGGCCUUAGGGUUGUAAAGCUCUUUCAGCUGGGAAGAUAAUGACGGUACCAGCAGAAGAAGCCCCGGCUAACUCCGUGCCAGCAGCCGCGGUAAUACGGAGGGGGCUAGCGUUGUUCGGAAUUACUGGGCGUAAAGCGCACGUAGGCGGAUUAGUCAGUCAGAGGUGAAAUCCCAGGGCUCAACCCUGGAACUGCCUUUGAUACUGCUAGUCUUGAGGUCGAGAGAGGUGAGUGGAAUUCCGAGUGUAGAGGUGAAAUUCGUAGAUAUUCGGAGGAACACCAGUGGCGAAGGCGGCUCACUGGCUCGAUACUGACGCUGAGGUGCGAAAGCGUGGGGAGCGAACAGGAUUAGAUACCCUGGUAGUCCACGCCGUAAACGAUGAAUGCCAGUCGUCGGGUUGCAUGCAAUUCGGUGACACACCUAACGGAUUAAGCAUUCCGCCUGGGGAGUACGGUCGCAAGAUUAAAACUCAAAGGAAUUGACGGGGUCAUAGCUGUUUCCUG
rnacentral:rRNA from 1 species